rnacentral:rRNA from 1 species
UGGUUGAUCCUGCCAGUAGUCAUAUGCUUGUCUCAAAGAUUAAGCCAUGCAUGUCUCAGUGCACGCCUUUAUACGGUGAAACCGCGAAUGGCUCAUUAAAUCAGCUAUGGUUUAUUGGAUCAUACCCGUUAAAUGGAUAACUGUAAUAACUCUAGAGCUAAUACAUGCCUCGAAGCCCUGACCUUACGGGAAUGGGUGCACUUAUUAGAUCAGAAGCCAACCGUGUAGGGUCGCAAGGCCUUGCAUGUUGAACUUCUGGUGACUCUGGAUAAUUGUUACAGAUCGCAGUCGGCCUUGAGUCGGCGACGGGUCCUUCAAAUGUCUGCCCUAUCAACUUUCGAUGGUAGGUNACCUGCCUACCAUGGUGAUAACGGGUAACGGGGAAUCAGGGUUCGAUUCCGGAGAGGGAGCCUGAGAAACGGCUACCACUUCCAAGGGAGGCAGCAGGCGCGCAAAUUACCCACUCCCAGUACGGGGAGGUGGUGACGAAAAAUACCGAUGCGGGACUCCUUAACGAGGCUCCGUAAUCGGAAUGAGUGAACUAUAAAUCCUUUCACGAGGAUCAAUUGGAGGGCAAGUCUGGUGCCAGCAGCCGCGGUAACUCCAGCUCCAAUAGCGUAUAUUAAAGUUGCUGCAGUUAAAAAGCUCGUAGUUGGAUCUCGGUAUAGUACCAACCCUGGGGUAUCGCAAGCGUCGUAUGGGUUCUGCCUUAACUGGUGUUCACCUGCGCGUCUCUACGGUGCCCCAGGGCGCGGGAAUUACCUUUUAGCCAUGUCUGUGGUGAAAUACCCAUAGGUGUAGGCUUGAGCGUCAGGUCAGUUCCUGUCUUACCGAUGGGGCUGCCGGCUCGUCUGCAUGCCCGAGGAUGCCCUUUAAAAGGUGUCUAUAGGCAGAUGGCACGUUUACUUUGAACAAAUUUGAGUGCUCAAACCAGGCCGAAGUCGCCUGAAAAGUUUUGCAUGGAAUAAUGGAAUAGAUUCUAUUUCGUUGGUUUUCGGAUCCGAAGUAAUGAUCAAAAGAGACAGGCGGGGACGUUUGUAUGGCUGCGCUAGAGGUGAAAUUCAUGACGUAGCCAGACAAACUAAAGCGAAAGCAUUCGUCAAGCAUGUUUUCAUUGGCCAUGAGCGAAAGUCAGAGGCUCGAAGACGAUCAGAUACCGUCCUAGUUCUGACCAUAAACGAUGCCAACUGACGAUCCGUGGUGGUAGUCUAUCAANCUUCCCCACGGGCAGUCCUCGGAAACCUUUAAGUCUUUGGGUUCCGGGGGAAGUAUGGUUGCAAAGCUGAAACUUAAAGGAAUUGACGGAAGGGCACCACCAGGAGUGGAGCCUGCGGCUUAAUUUGACUCAACACGGGAAAAAUCACCGGCCCGGACACUAUGAGGAUUGACAGAUUGAAAGCUCUUUCUUGAUUUGGUGGUUGGUGGUGCAUGGCCGUUCUUAGUUGGUGGAGCGAUUUGUCUGGUUAAUUCCGAUAACGAACGAGACUCUCGCCUGCUAAUUAGUGCAUCUGUCCACUGUGCCUGUGAUGGCGUCGUUCGGCGAGGCUGCUCUCCGAUAGCUGCCUUGGUGCUGUCUAGUGCUUUCGGGUGCUGGGUGGUGUCUUGGUGGUUGGGAUGUGGCUGGUCCAGCGUUUGCUCCGGGUGCGGCGCGGGUGUUUACUUCUUAGAGGGACAAGCGGGAGAAGCCGCACGAAAUUGAGCAAUAACAGGUCUGUGAUGCCCUUAGAUGUCCGGGGCCGCACGCGCGCUACAAUGACGGUGUCAACGAGUCUGACCUCCUGGCCCGAAAGGGUUGGGCAAACUGGUCAAUCGCCGUCAUGACAGGGAUCGGGGCUUGGAAUUGUUCCCCGUGAACGAGGAAUUCCUAGUAAGUGCAAGUCAUAAGCUUGCGCUGAUUACGUCCCUGCCCUUUGUACACACCGCCCGUCGCUACUACCGAUUGAAUGGUUUAGUAAGGUCCUUGGAUUGGUGCCAUUGUGGUGGUUGCUGAAAGGUGGCUGCCCGACAGGUGCUGAGAAGACGACCGAACUUGAUCAUUUAGAGGAAGUAAAAGUCGUAACAAGG